GGCCAGCACAAACAGCAGCACCACCACGAAGGCACGCACAAACACUUAGACGCGUGUGAGGGAGAGUUGGGGACAGAGAGAGCCCGCGGCCAGCAGGGGGCAGCACCAACGCGGUCUGCCUCCGUCCCGGCUGUUGCUAGGUGAUGUGAUUCUGGACCAACUGUCGUUUUAGGACGCCGGAGGUUGCCGUGGUUACUGUUCCUAAAAUAGGCUGUGGUUUUGUCUUGAUUUGAUCAGGUUUGUAUUUCGGCCAUUUAACACAUUGAAACCACCCAGCAUGCAUCUGGAACCAGUUUGUGUAGGGGCAGUGUGAAGCAACAUGGUGAUGGGACUGUAGUGCACAGGUUGACCACCGCAACACAUCACAACAUCAACAACCACAGGAACAUCAAGCCCUCCCCUUCUCAAAAUACCCAUCUUAACACGGAAUCUCUGGACGCCUCUACACAGAAUGACUGGGGUUAGACAGUACAGAGACAGGUCAUUAAGGAGCAGGGAGGGGUUAGACAGUACAGAGACAGGUCAUUAAGGAGCAGGGAGGGGUUAGACAGUACAGAGACAGGGAGCAGGUAGGGGUUAGACAGUACAGAGACAGGUCAUUAAGGAGCAGGGAGGGGUUAGACAGUACAGAGACAGGGAGCAGGUAGGGGUUAGACAGUACAGAGACAGGUCAUUAAGGAGCAGGUAGGGGUUAGACAGUACAGAGACAGGUCAUUAAGGAGCAGGUAGGGGUUAGACAGUACAGAGACAGGUCAUUAAGGAGCAGGUAGGGGUUAGACAGUACAGAGACACGUCAUUAAGGAGCAGGUAGGGGUUAGACAGUACAGAGACAGAUCAUUAAGGAGAAGGUAGGGGUUAGACAGUACAGAGACAGGUCAUUAAGGAGCAGGUAGGGGUUAGACAGUACAGAGACAGGUCAUUAAGGAGCAGGUAGGGGUUAGACAGUACAGAGACACGUCAUUAAGGAGCAGGUAGGGGUUAGACAGUACAGAGACACGUCAUUAAGGAGCAGGUAGGGGUUAGACAGUACAGAGACAUGUCGUCAAGGAGCAGGUAGGGGUUAGACAGUACAGAGACAGGUCAUUAAGGAGCAGGUAGGGGUUAGACAGUACAGAGACAGGUCAUUAAGGAGCAGGUAGGGGUUAGACAUUAAAGAGACAGGUCAAUAAGGAGCAGGUAGGGGUUAGACAGUAAAGAGACAGGUCAAUAAGGAGCAGGUAGGGGUUAGACAGUACAGAGACAGGUCAUUAAGGAGCAAGUAGGGGUUACAGUACAGAGACAGGUCAUUAAGGAGCAGGUAGGGGUUAGACAGUACAGAGACAAGUCAUAAAGGAGCAGGUAGGGGUUAGACAGUACAGAGACAGGUCGUUAAGGAGCAGGUAAGGGUUAGACAGUUAGAAACACUGUUUUCAUAGGUUUAAAAUUUGAAUUCAUUUGUUAAGAUGGAUACGUUUUUCCUAUGGGAAGCCCAUAAUAUCAAUGAAUUAUAUAGCCAUAUAAAUCAAAAGAUCAAUACAUAAAAUCAUCAAAGUGCCGCGAGGGUGAAAUGUACUUUAACCUACAUAACACUCAUGGCCAGGACACAGAAAUUCAAUAAUUCCUUCAUUCACAAACCAAACUAACGACAACGUCUUUAAACAUCAAUCGUUUAGUGGAAAACGUUAAGAAGCCAUCGGUCGUUACAACAAAACGCCACCAGCCGCUGUGGCUCCACAAUGAGAGCGCUGGGACUCCACAUUAAGAGCGCUGAGACUCCACAAUAAGAGCGCUGAGACUCCACAAUAAGAGCACUAGUUCUCCACAAUAAGAGAGCGUAAACCUUGCACGUGUAAACCUGUCAGGGCUGGUCACAGAUCUAUCCCCAUGGGCACCAGGGCAUCACAGGCCUUCACGUCGACUCCCUCCUAAAGGCGCUUCCAACGCACCCCUCUUUGGUGGAUGGCCUUUCCAGAAGGUUCCUCUCGUUAAACAGAAGAGACCCAGAGUCCACAAUACUAUCACCAAACUACACGGCUGGGAGGAAUACUGGCCUCUGAUUGGUCAGACCGUUGAGUCGAACGGCCUUCGUAUGAGCGGUAGCGAUAAACCCAUUAUUUAAUCAGUCCAUUGAUUUGUUUGUUGCUCCAGAGGAUUGAAUUCUUCAGUGCGUCGCCGUCAAAUGAGCGGGAGAACGCACAGCGGCCGCAGACUGACCUCUGACCUCUGGUGAUUAUCCUCAUAAGGCCAUUAUCCCUGACCCAACCAUAACUCCUGAUUGAGCUCAAUCCAGGGUCCACUCCCUACGACCUUCUGCUUAUGCGUGUUAAGUUCCUACUGUGAUUAUAUGUGAUUUAACUCUUAGUCCAGGCCUGAUUUAAAUCAAAACUACUUUCACUCACAGGAAAUAUAGCUUCCUUAUGCUAACAGGAAGUGACGUUUCCCAAUGCUAAC